rnacentral:lncRNA from 10 species
CCAGGGCUCAGUGAGGAGCCGGAGUGUCCCGGCCUGCCUGGACUCCAGCCGGGACCUCCCACAUGAGGCUCAUUCAUCUAUGCCCAGGAUUCUCAAAGAACCCCGGCCCCAGCCUGCUCUCUGUCAUGUGCUGAGCCCCAAGCUUACCCAUGCCUCCUGCCGUGGGGACCAGAGAAUGAGAAGACCACCAGGGAGACCCGCCCUGGAGACCAUGAGAAUGACAUCACCAAGUGUGCCCUCUGUCCUGUCACUUGGAGCUCCUGGAAGCACAGAAUGUCCCUCAGCCUGGACACUGCCCCUGGCCUGGGGAGGUAGAUGCUCCCCACCUCCCCUCCUGCCCUAGUGCAGAGGAAAGAAGAUCAAAUCUGGAGUCAGCAGACAUAGGAGUCUAAUCCCUGGUUCUGAUAUAUCUAGGCAGUCAUUGCCUUAGCCACACUCAGCCUUAAUCUCCUGAUCUGCAAAAUGGGGAGAACCACACUAACUUUGCAGUUUGCGGUGAGAGUCAAGGAAACCCACGUGAGAAGUGUCUGGCACUGUGCCUCGCAUGUAGGCUUGAGCUGAGCUCCAGGGAGUGAGAGAAAGGGGACCUAACAGACUUGUGGGAGACGAGCGUGAAGACAAAGCAAUGACCCCAGAUAGGCCAGUCGCAAAUGCCAGGAAAGAUCCACGGACCCUGGAGUUUCACCUGGACCUUGAGAAACAGAAUUUGAAUAUUGUGGAGAUUAACAAAACAAAACACCACAGGAGCAAAGGUCCUGAGUGAAGCUGGCCCUUUGGGGCUGGUGUAUCUGGUCAGCUGGUAGGCAUGGAGGGCCCACCCCACGGGGAGAAGCCAGGCAGAGAAAGAAGGCUGGAGGCGGCCGGAAAAGACGGAAAAGACACAGGUGUCAGGCGACGUUUGAAUUGAUUUUCAGCACUAGGGAGCCAUCUCUGAUCAGGGAGUGGAGUGAGCAGAAAUGCCUUCUGGAGGAGGCCUUGAAACCACCUUUGCAAAAAUGGUAUCAGUGAGAAAAUUAUGACAGUGAAAGAGAUCUCAGCUAACCUACCCCCAAUCUUUCCUUUCCCUUCCUUAUUCCUGGGUAUUGGGCCGAGCUAACUUUGAAGACAUUUAGGCUGUAGUUUAAAUGGUAACAGGCCUUGUCCCAAAACGCAGCUGCUUUUGUAAAGCUAAUGAGAGGCCAUCAGGCCUGGGGGAGUAGAGGGCCCUGACUCCUGCUAAGGCGCAGACAUAAAAGACUGUCAGCCACGAUGCCAGAGGUCAGAAGACAGGCAACUUCCCUAAUUACUCCUGCAAAUAAUGCCAAUGUUGUGAACCUAAGGUCGGCC